UAGAAAAAGAGAGAUUUUUGCCGGCGUGUAUACAACCACUGGCAUGCUACUCUGUAUAGGGAUGGAGAAUGGGACUAAAAGAUUCCAGAGGAGAGUGGAAAAAAAAAGAGAAUAAAAAUAAGUAUGAAAUGCGCAAGUGGACCUGAUAUUAAUAUUUACAGGUGAGAUUGCGGGUAAAUUUAGGCUUUUCUAUAAGAAAUGGUGAAUCUUUAAAGCUUUCCAAUUAAAUCAAUUUCUGACAGGUAUUUGAACAAUAAAUACAAAACCCGCCGCUGUUUUGAAGGGCCGGGCAUUGGACCUAAGAUGCUGGGUAAUGUUAACGGAUCGUGGCAAAUCAUGUCAAUCUGGUGCUC
rnacentral:lncRNA from 1 species